GUGGCACAGUGGUUAAGUGCUCAGCUACUAAUUGAAAGUUUGGUGGUUCAAAUCCACCC
rnacentral:tRNA from 1 species